AUACGGAGGGGGUUAGCGUUGUUCGGAAUUACUGGGCGUAAAGCGCACGUAGGCGGACUGGAAAGUUGGGGGUGAAAUCCCGGGGCUCAACCCCGGAACUGCCUCCAAAACUUCCAAUCUAGAGAUCGAGAGAGGUGAGUGGAAUUCCAAGUGUAGAAGUGAAAUUCGUAGAUAUUUGGAGGAACACCAGUGGCGAAGGCGGCUCACUGGCUCGAUACUGACGCUGAGGUGCGAAAGCGUGGGGAGCAAACAGGAUUAGAAACCCUGGUAGUCC
rnacentral:rRNA from 1 species